UGGCUGUGAUUACAAUUUAUCCGCGCUUCUGAGAUUCUAAAUCCAUGAAGCAUACCGGAAAAAUAUGGAUGAAUUUCUUGAUAUGAGCCA
rnacentral:snoRNA from 1 species